GGUCGGGGUGGUGUAGCGGUUUAGCACGUCAGCCGCAAUAGCUGGAGACCCGGGUUCGAGUCCCGGCUUCGCCA
rnacentral:tRNA from 1 species